rnacentral:rRNA from 1 species
AGGAAUAUUGGACAUUGGAGGCAACUCUGAUCCAGCCAUGCCGCGUGAAGGAAUAAGGCCCUAUGGGUUGUAAACUUCUUUUAGACGGGACAAAACCCCUUUACGUGUAAAGGGUUGAUGGUACUGUCAGAAUAAGCAUCGGCUAACUUCGUGCCAGCAGCCGCGGUAAUACGAAGGAUGCAAGCGUUAUCCGGAAUUAUUGGGUUUAAAGGGUGCGUAGGCGGACUAAUAAGUCAGUGGUGAAAGCCUGCAGCUUAACUGCAGAAUUGCCAUUGAUACUGUUAGUCUUGAGUACAGUUGAGGUAGGCGGAAUGUGUCAUGUAGCUGUGAAAUGCUUAGAUAGGACACAGAACACCGAUUACGCAGGCAGCUUGCU